rnacentral:tRNA from 1 species
GAGGUUAUAGCUCAGUGGUAGAGCGCAUGCUUAGCAUGCAUGAGGUCCUGGGUUCAAUUCCCAGCGUCUCUA